UAUAUAUAUAUUUUUUUUGAAUGAAUUCUAAAGUUUUAUUUAUAAAAAAAACUAUUUGUACAGAGUAUAUUGAGUGUGAAUUUUUUGAAAAUUCUUGAAGGACAGAAAUCCUAAAUUCUUAAAUUGGACUAGAGAGCCUCAUAAGCAACAAUGGGGUAAUCAUAUACGUUGGAGAUGAGAGCUACAAUCGGGAGGACGGCCGGAUCUGAUAAACGAGUACCAGAGAACGCGAGACGGCCGAUCGGACUUUGGUGAAAUCGUCGACUACUUCAAUCGGGCUGAAAGAGAGAUUUUUUUGGCUUUAUUAAAAGUCUCACAACCAAAAAAAUAUUGACACGUCACGACCGCGUUUUGAUUAAAAGCCCCUCUUAGCUUAGAGCUCCUCUAAAAUAAUUUGCUCAAAUAAUAAU
rnacentral:sRNA from 1 species